GGCAAAGAUGAUGAUUGCAUGAGUUCUGACACCUCUUGUAUGAGAUGAGCUUAUUCAAUAAGCUCUUCCUUGAGCAGAGACAGCAACAUUCUGAGCC